rnacentral:rRNA from 1 species
ACACAUGCAAGUCGAGGGGCAGCAUAAUGGAUAGCAAUAUCUAUGGUGGCGACCGGCGCACGGGUGCGUAACGCGUAUGCAACCUACCUUUAACAGGGGGAUAACACUGAGAAAUUGGUACUAAUACCCCAUAAUAUCAUAGAAGGCAUCUUUUAUGGUUGAAAAUUCCGAUGGUUAGAGAUGGGCAUGCGUUGUAUUAGCUAGUUGGUGGGGUAACGGCUCACCAAGGCGACGAUACAUAGGGGGACUGAGAGGUUAACCCCCCACACUGGUACUGAGACACGGACCAGACUCCUACGGGAGGCAGCAGUGAGGAAUAUUGGUCAAUGGACGCAAGUCUGAACCAGCCAUGCCGCGUGCAGGAUGACGGCUCUAUGAGUUGUAAACUGCUUUUGUACGAGGGUAAACGCAGAUACGUGUAUCUGUCUGAAAGUAUCGUACGAAUAAGGAUCGGCUAACUCCGUGCCAGCAGCCGCGGUAAUACGGAGGAUUCAAGCGUUAUCCGGAUUUAUUGGGUUUAAAGGGUGCGUAGGCGGUUUGAUAAGUUAGAGGUGAAAUUUCGGGGCUCAACCCUGAACGUGCCUCUAAUACUGUUGAGCUAGAGAGUAGUUGCGGUAGGCGGAAUGUAUGGUGUAGCGGUGAAAUGCUUAGAGAUCAUACAGAACACCGAUUGCGAAGGCAGCUUACCAAACUAUAUCUGACGUUGAGGCACGAAAGCGUGGGGAGCAAACAGGAUUAGAUACCCUGGUAGUCCACGCAGUAAACGAUGAUAACUCGUUGUCGGCGAUACACGGUCGGUGACUAAGCGAAAGCGAUAAGUUAUCCACCUGGGGAGUACGUUCGCAAGAAUGAAACUCAAAGGAAUUGACGGGGGCCCGCACAAGCGGAG